AACGAACGCUGGCGGCAGGCUUAACACAUGCAAGUCGAACGCCCCGCAAGGGGAGUGGCAGACGGGUGAGUAACGCGUGGGAACGUACCUUUCAGUUCGGAAUAACUCAGGGAAACUUGGGCGAAUACCGGAUACGUCCGUAAGGAGAAAGAUUUAUCGCUGAAAGAUCGGCCCGCGUUGGAUUAGCUAGUUGGUGGGGUAAUGGUCUACCAAGGCGACGAUCCAUAGCUGGUCUGAGAGGAUGAUCAGCCACACUGGGACUGAGACACGGCCCAGACUCCUACGGGAGGCAGCAGUGGGGAAUAUUGGACAAUGGGCGAAAGCCUGAUCCAGCCAUGCCGCGUGAGUGAUGAAGGCCCUAGGGUUGUAAAGCUCUUUCACCGAUGAAGAUAAUGACGGUAGUCGGAGAAGAAGCCCCGGCUAACUUCGUGCCAGCCGCCGCCGUAA
rnacentral:rRNA from 1 species